ACCAACGUCCAUACCGAACUGAAUAAACUCGUUCUCGUCCGAUCACGAAAGUUAAGCAGUGCUGGGCACGGGUAGUACUUAGAUGGGUGACCGCUUGAGAACACCGUGUGAUGUUGGUU